ACGCUCGACACCUACGGGGCAGCAGUUAGGAAUAUUGGGCAAUGGAGGAAACUCUGACCCAGCAACGCCGCGUGAAGGAAGAAGGUUUUCGGAUUGUAAACUUCUGAUCUAGGGGAAGAAGGAAGUGACGGUACCCUAGGAGAAAGCCAACGGCUAACUACGUGCCAGCAGCCGUGGUAAUCUGAGCGGGCUGGCAAGGC
rnacentral:rRNA from 1 species